rnacentral:rRNA from 1 species
GACGAACGCUGGCGGCGUGCUUAACACAUGCAAGUCGAACGGAAAGAGAUGAAAGAGCUUGCUCUUUUAUUAAUUUCAGUGGCAAACGGGUGAGUAACACGUAAACAACCUGCCUUAAGGAUGGGGAUAACAGACGGAAACGACUGCUAAUACCGAAUACGUUCUAAGCAUCGCAUGGUGCAUAGAAGAAAGGGUGGCCUCUACAAGAAAGCUAUCGCCUUAAGAGGGGUUUGCGACUGAUUAGGUAGUUGGUGAGGUAACGGCUCACCAAGCCGACGAUCAGUAGCUGGUCUGAGAGGAUGAACGGCCACACUGGAACUGAGACACGGUCCAGACUCCUACGGGAGGCAGCAGUGGGGAAUCUUCCGCAAUGGACGAAAGUCUGACGGAGCAACGCCGCGUGAACGAAGAAGGUCUUCGGAUUGUAAAGUUCUGUGAUUCGGGACGAAAGGGUUUGUGGUGAAUAAUCAUAGAC